CUAAUUCCCACUGAGGAUCUGGGCCAUGGUUCCUAAUGUUUCCCUCUUUCACAGGUUGAAGAGAAUUAGGAGGACUCAGGACAACUGAGGACUGGGCAGACAGACAGAUAAAAGGAAAAGGAGCUGGAGCAAAGCGCAAUGUUGCAGAGUAUGUCUUGAGGAGAAUGUUGAAGGAGGAGGUUGUGGCCUUAUGGACCAGUUCAAAGAGAGCGUUCUUUGUGGUGGACUAACUGGAAGCCACAUUGGCUCUCCUAAUGGAAAUGUAGCAGGAGGCUGCCUGAAGAUUCGGGCUAAGAACGUUUAUCAUAAUAUGUCAUAAUCAGCAAGUUAUGCAAACCAAAAGGCCCACUUAACUGGCAAUGCCAUGGCCCAGAUUGUAUGCCAUUACAUUGCUUUUUAAUGUGGCAUCUGUAAAAACAAUUAGCUUGAAUAAGCUUGACAGUCUUUGCCAAAAUAAAGCAAGGCUAAAACUUU